CCCGCCGCCCGCCGCCGACGCGCCGCGCACCGCAGCCGCGCCCGCACCCAUUUCCCAUCGAUGCGCCAAACGGGGGCGAUGAUGGACGGCGCCGCCAGCUCCUGUCCGACGGAGUCGCCGGGUUCCCGCUCUCGGGGCCAACCCCUCCCCUGUGUCGGCUCGCGCAUCGGCUUGGAGGCCCCUCGGGGCUGCCGCCGGUGCGGGAGUCCUGCGCGGCCGUGAUGGCUGGGGACCAAGCGGCGGGGCCCGUGGUGCGUUCCUGUUGAGGGCUUGCUGGGGUUGGCCGGGAUCUGAGCCGCCGUCGAUGGAUUUCUCGCAGGUUGGCUACAUGUUGCUUCGGAUUUGAUCGUUGUACCAUCGUCCCGGUCGCCGCCGCGUCAGUUCCACACCGCUACAGCACAGCCUACCACCGCCACUCCAUUGGCUUGGAUUUGCUUGCGGCAUGGGCUGGGAACUGUACGGUGUUGUCUGAUGCAUGUUCCGCACUGGGAGGUUUGGUCGGCUGACGCUAGGUUUUAUUCCCAUUGAGAGAGAGCGGGCAAUGGAUCGUGAGGUGGAAUGAAAUUAUAAGCAAAUUGAUCUGACCAUCUCUUGUUGUCAGGGAAUCUGUGUGAUCUGUUCUACUUUGACUUGGAGUGUACAACUAUGAUAUUGUACGUGAUGAUUUUUUUUUUUGAUUCUGCUACUAGAGGUCAGUCAGAGGUGGUAAUUAUUAGUGGCAAAAAAGAGGCGGUAAUUAUUACACUCUUUAUUUGCAAAAAAUGUGACUGAAACAAUGCUAAUUGCAUAUGUUUUGUACUUGUAGGAAGGCUAUGAAAGAAGUGUUCUUCCCUUAUUUUUAUGAAGGUAAGGUCUUGUUCUUGGAUUCCUGCUGCUCUAGAUUGCUUGGCAGCUCUAAUUUAUCACUUCAUGACCUUAUGCUCCACCAUUAUCUUUGAACACUUGAUACUUAUUUACUUUUAUUUGUUGGCUUCUUUUUUAUAGUCAUCUGAUUUAAAAAUGCUAGCAUGUGCCACUUUAGUAUCUUUCAGUUUCAGCAAACAUAUUGGAUUAUCUUGACAUAUGUUGGCAUUGACAAGAUAAUAUAGAUUGUCACUAUUAAUUUCAAUGUUCACGCUCCAUCCUAUUUAAAUUCGUAUUUGGAUGGAAGUCAACACACUAAGAACUGUAUGCUUAAUGAAUGAUGUUCACAGCAAUUACUCGAAUUUCUUGCAUUCACUUGUGCAGACCGAUGGUUAAUUGUGAACUAUGUAUAUUUUGUAGGUUCUUCUUAGUGAGAUCAAACAAAGCACAAUCGUAUUUUCUCGAAUUAUACACAUGCUAUGAUUUUCAUGCUCUCUGUAGUAAUUAUGUUGAAUUCUCAUAAUUCCUUUUUCAUUAUUAUGCCAAACAAUUUGUAUGCUAAAAACAUACUUCAUAAUCCCAUCUCCCCGCGUCGUCCCGAUUUGUUCCAGCUGGGCACUGCCUCGGCUGCAAAGCGUGUGUUAUCCCAUGAAGCAGGCCCUCCUUUGCAAGGCUGACGACGAUAGCUUCAACUUCGCCGCCUAUUCUGGUCGAUGAUGUCAUUGAUAAUAACCAGGAAGUUUUCACUGCUCAGUUCAUCUAGUUGAAUCCUUCUAUUGUAAUUCUAUUCCCUACCUUUUCUUACUCGUAGGAAAUUCAAGUGUGGUACACAUGUGAGUAUCUUCUCCUUCCCUCUGUUGUAUGCAUGUGGUCAUUUGUUAUCCCGAUUAAGAAUCAAGAUCCACUACAUUCUUGAAUAUUGAAGACUGUUUUAGUUGGUCCAGAUUAAACUUGAUAAAUACAAUUUCCUUGUUGGUUCCAUCUGAGUUGUAUAAUUGAUUUGGGCAGUUUUCAGUAAUCUUAAGCUGUCUUCAGAUUUUAGCUUCCUCAAUCAUUCUGAAUUAUUUAACCUCAGUAUGAGGUACAUGUGUUCCAAAGAUUAAUCCUGAGAAAUUUGUAGUUGACCAGUUGGGUCUGUUUGAUUUGUUUAGUAGACUGCAACGGCAGUCACAAUUGUUCAGAUCUAUUCUAAAGCUGCAUUAUUAGCACUGCAAUAUCUUUGUUACUUCAACCAAAUAGUCCAGUCGUGUCUUAUUGAUUUGGACGGGUUCUUACUAAUCUUUAAGCCAACUUCAAAUUUUAGCCUGCUCGGUCAAUCUGGAUUAUUUAGUGUCAAUUUUGAUGCAUGUCUUUAAUAAAAUAAGAAACUGAUUUUGGGUGCUAAAAUAAACACUAAACACUACUUGUUCAUGGCGACUAUGUGUAGAAAGACGAUCAUGGUGGAGAUCCCGACGGUCGACGUGAAGCCGGGAUGGAAUAAGGGCACGAAGAUCACCUUCCUAGAAGGAACAAUCUGAUUUUUUCGGUACAGUUAUGUGUUCCAAAAAGUUAUUGUGAUGUAAUUUUUAUAUUAACACUAAUCUAUGAAGUUAUGUUUCCAGACAUUUCACUUUUUGCAUCAGCUGAGGCACAUUUUAUUUUCAAAUAAUUUCUGAAGUAAAAGUUGUGAAUGAACUGCAUGAUCUUUCAUGUGUCUGAAUUACACUUGAAAUAAAAAAUUAGAUAGCAAGGUGCGAGGAAAUGUGAGAAAAGUUGUCCAAAACCGAAGAACCCUUUUUACUUUUCUUCCCAUUACAUGUUUGCUAUUUACACUAUGCUUUAUUUUUACUAUAAUGUCAAAAUUAUCAUGUUUUAAGAUGAAUGGUAAAUCAAAUAAGGAAAAAACUAUGGUGGCCAGAUUUGGUAGCCCUUAGCCCUUAUCAUGUUUUUAUAUCCAAAAUACUGUUUGAUCCUUGUUCAGUCUUAUUUGCAGCGUAAACUAUGUACAGUAAUCAUUAGACCAUCUUUGAAGAUCUGACGAACAAAAGCAGAAUGGUUCUUUCUAUACUGUUUGACCCCCCCUCCCCCCCCUUGCGUUCUCUCGCAGGGAGUGGCUAGCGCACAACACUGCCAUGCUCCUCUGCUGCUCCGUCAUCACAGGGUGGGACGGCGACCUCGCCUUCCUGUUCAUUGUUCUGUCGGUAGCGACGUUCUUUGUCCAGGAUCAUCCGGACAGGGAGGUCCUCCAGGCCAUGCGUCUAGGCAUGUACUGCAACGCCGACCACAUGGCUAAGAUGGUCGUUGCCGCAACCGAGUUCCGUGCUCUCCGUUCUUCAGUAAAUCCAGAUGCGGAAACUAAAAGGCGAGUACCAUGGGAUCAUGAAGUAUAUAAAGCAAAGGAGGAGGAGUGCCAUCUCCUCUCCAGCAAGAUAUUUUUUUUUGCUGGGGAAUGAACGAAUUGAAUGCAAGAUUGCAUUGUUACAAGGACAGAGAGUGGACCACCACCUUCAGUUUCUCAGAUUCCCUGUUUGCAUUCGCCAUUCUCAACAAGCACCAGGAUGUGGCUUUGGUUCUGCACAAACAAUAUCUUCAGUGGUUUCUAGAUCAAGCCCUAUGUUCUUUAUCUGAACAAUAGACAUUGUAAUUCUUCCAUCCAUUACCUCUGAAAGUCAAGAAUCGAAAGAAAAGUCAUUGGCAUAUCUCUGUCACCAAGGAAGGUUCGUUAGACAGAAAAAUGACCUCUGGUUAUGUAUGAGAUGAUGCAAUGCACAUAUCUCUGAAUGAAGCACAACAGGAAUUUACAUCCUGUAAUGCUAACUGUUGAUCAUUCUUCUCAGAAGUAUCAAGUCAU